rnacentral:rRNA from 1 species
AGAACGAACGCUGGCGGCAUGCCUAAUACAUGCAAGUCGAACGAACUCUUCGGAGUUAGUGGCGCACGGGUGCGUAACGCGUGGGAAUCUGCCCCUUGGUUCGGAAUAACAGUUGGAAACGACUGCUAAUACCGGAUGAUGACGAAAGUCCAAAGAUUUAUCGCCAAGGGAUGAGCCCGCGUAGGAUUAGCUAGUUGGUGAGGUAAAGGCUCACCAAGGCAACGAUCCUUAGCUGGUCUGAGAGGAUGAUCAGCCACACUGGGACUGAGACCACGGCCCAGACUCCUACGGGAGCAGCAGUAGGGAAUAGUGGACAAGUGGGACAAAGCCUAGAUCCAGCAAUCGCCGCGUGAGUGAGUGAAGGCCGUUAGGGU